UGAACGCUGGCGGCAUGCUUUACACAUGCAAGUCGAACGGUAACAGGCCGCAAGUUGCUGACGAGUGGCGAACGGGUGAGUAAUGCAUCGGAACGUGCCCAGUCGUGGUGGAUAACUACUCGAAAGAGUAGCUAAUACCGCAUACGAUCUAUGGAUGAAAGCGGGGGACCGUAAGGCCUCGCGCGAUUGGAGCGGCCGAUGUCAGAUUAGGUAGUUGGUGGGGUAAAGGCUCACCAAGCCAACGAUCUGUAGCUGGUCUGAGAGGACGACCAGCCACACUGGGACUGAGACACGGCCCAGACUCCUACGGGAGGCAGCAGUGGGGAAUUUUGGACAAUGGGCGCAAGCCUGAUCCAGCAAUGCCGCGUGCAGGAAGAAGGCCUUCGGGUUGUAAACUGCUUUUGUACGGAACGAAACGGCUCUGGUUAAUACCCGGGGCUAAUGACGGUACCGUAAGAAUAAGCACCGGCUAACUACGUG
rnacentral:rRNA from 1 species